GUCACAGUUUCUCGAUUCUUAGUUUUUCUAAUCGUCACUCGUAGUUCCUAUUAUCGAUGUACUAUUAAUGUUAAAACUACAUGUUGUAAUUUUUAAUCUUUCAGCAGAAUCGAAUAGUAUUCUAGUACUGUUAUUCUAUUAGCUGUUUCAAGGAAAGCUCUUUUAGAUAAGAAGAUGUGUUCUAAUCUUCUGAUACUAUUAGGUUGUCCGAAAAGCUUCUUUCGCUUUAUUAAUAAGUAAUACAUGCACGAUAUUUUAUGUUUCAUGUUAUAUUACUGAAUUGUGCACGAUUCAUUUUGCUCCAUUACUGUGAAUGUCCUGUGAAUGUAACAUGAAUAUCUAUGAAAUUAGAUUGUCUAUUUAUAUAAACACGACCACAGAAAAUAAUUGAGUGCAACUCGCGAAAGAAACCUUUCGAGACGACCUAAUAUAUUCUGAUACUACAUUCGGAGAAACUUUUUAAGAUAAAGAGUACACACCGAAUGUUAUUAGUUUCCAUGGGAACCGUGCAUAAUUGAAAUGCCCUACGGUAAUGAAACAACUACUAAAAUCUAUCUAUAACUCCGUAGGGAGACCGUAUUCAAAGUAAACGACGAUAACGAACGCGUUACUAUCAAAUUUCGCUCGCCGAUUCACUGCUUUCGGUUAUCCAAUCUCCAGUUAUCCAUUUUAUCUCCUGCCCUUUCUUCCCCUUAUCGCGUGAUAGCGAUUGCCGUUACUUCUACGGUACUCUUACAAAUACAAAAUUCUGUCUAAUCUCUGUCCAUUUCAUCGAUCAACAAGUAUUAUCUCGAUUUCUGUACUCGAAAUUGUACUUUCUCGCAUUCGUGUUCUCGUCCUCGAUUUCGCGUAGAGGAGUCGAAACAAAUAUCUGUUAUAUGUACAUCGAGCACGCGACGCGUACUUCGACCUUUGUCCUCUGAAUGCUUCGUCCUCCUCGAUCGAUGCGAAACCGCAAAAGCUGUUUUGACAGUUGCUGGUCGAGAGCGUGCAUGUGCCGUUGGACGGUUGACUCGACCUUCGUCGGUCUGGUUCGAUGUAACUCGGCUUAACUCGGUUAAACUCGGCCUCGAUCGGCUUUAUGGCGCUUCGCUCGCCGCCUACUCUUCGAGUUUGUCGACAAUGGACCACGAUUACGGCAGAUAAUUAGGUCUAAAAAGUCCUGCAUAAUUGAAAGUAACGAAUCCAGUGAAUACCGAGAAUCCAGUAGCUGUACAGAGUUUUCAACGUAUCGUUGUUUGUUUUAUACCGAGGAUGGCUUACGCGAAUGUACCUACACCGAAUAUGUACACCUCUGGUAUCGCGAUCGAUAGCGGAGGUAGUAAAGACAAUAGCGGUUUGCUUGCAUAUCGAGUUUCGUCUAUUCAGGUACGCCGGAUGUAACCGUAGAAUGCAUUUAUCUUCGACAGCCAUGCCGAAUGAUACUUUCGUAUACACACGUUGUAUACGACACAACGAUCUGCCUAUGGGAGUCGCCGGUGCGUAAAACUUUACACUUCGUAAACACUUCGCAAACAAAUAACCACGAUACGGCGUUAUCUCUUGUUCGAGCCGCGCCCUUGAAGAUGUUUGUCAACAGUUCUCCGUCGACCCUGGUCCCAUCCUUUUCGAGCUGGAACACAUUAUAAGCCUGAACGCCCAAGGCGAGCAACGUACGGCCACGAGUUGCGGGCGCCAUCGAUAAUUUUGCCCAAGGGCCCAGGCGAGGUUAAGGCCGGCCCUGGCCGAACGUCCCUAGCGGCUCGAUGAUUUCCUGGCACGCUCUACGCGUCUACGAAGUCGAAAUAAAGCAACAGCAAAAUAAUCUUGUUUGUCGACCGCUAUCCAACUUCCAUAUCCUCCUUUCGAGUUCACGGCUCUCCAAUCAGAGAGCUGGGAUUCGUGGGCGUGUGCAAUACCGCGUCCGUGACGUUUCGUGCUAUUACGCACACGUUACGAAAUUCGUUGUUUUUCGAUGCGCGCGCUCUCGGAUCCGUUUGGGUCGCGUUAACCUUGCUGUCCUUAGAACGUAAACACCUCGAACUACGCCAUAUACAAUUGUCUAACAUAAACA